AACCAAUAGUUUAGACUUAUUCAUAAUUUAAAAGUAACUGAAUUUUACUUUAUCUUUAAUUACAUUUAAAUAUCAGCCUUGAAUUUAAAGUUUGAAAAGCAUUGUUAAACGAAAACCUAUCGAAGUUACUAAGUAAUUGGAUUUUAAUUGUGAAUUAUUAUAAAAGAUACUUUACUACCGUUUAAGUUUCUUGGUGAGCUAAUUAGCAUUAAAAGUCAGUCGUCUCAUAACCCUUGAUACGCUUAAUAAAGGCAAGCACAUCUGCUGUCCCCCACAACCUCCAACACAUACAGUCCAAACAUUGAUUUGCAUUGGUGGCGACCAAUAGAUUCAACAAACAUCAUCUUGCUCCACCAAUCCCCCCAUACUCCAAUCUAGUUUAAACAUGGUCCACUCGAGGAGAGAACACUCAAACCAGCAAAGAUCAACAUCAAGCGUAAGCGAAGAGAGCAGAAGAACAUCAAUCCAUCAUCAGCAACGGUCGCCCAACAUGUAUAAAUGCAAGUUAUGCAAUAAGUUCCACGCACUGAAGGUUUGUCCCAAAUUUCUGAAAAUGACGCCAAAACAGCGAAAUGUUUUGGUACUUAAAGAAACGUACUGCGUAAAUUGUCUUGCAAGAAGCCACAGAUUCCGCGAUUGUCGAUCCCGCAAUAUGUGCAGAAGAUGCGGAAGGCCACACAAUACUUUACUUCACCCCAAUUACACGAAUCGAAAAGGAAACCAGACCAGCAACAACAGCACCAAAAGCGGCAACAACAGUGGCAACAACAGUAGCAACAACAGCAGAGACAAUAACAACAGCAACAACAACCAAUGUGAAUCUGGGGCAAAUCAGAAAAUUUUGUCUGAAGCUAUUCGUGCGUUAGCAACCGUUCUAUGUUCGUCACCAAAGUGAUUUUGUCCGCGGUGGCAGCAUGUCUAAACCAAUAGUUUAGACUUAUUCAUAAUUUAAAAGUAACUGAAUUUUACUUUAUCUUUAAUUACAUUUAAAUAUCAGCCUUGAAUUUAAAGUUUGAAAAGCAUUGUUAAACGAAAACCUAUCGAAGUUACUAAGUAAUUGGAUUUUAAUUGUGAAUUAUUAUAAAAGAUACUUUACUACCGUUUAAGUUUCUUGGUGAGCUAAUUAGCAUUAAAAGUCAGUCGUCUCAUAACCCUUGAUACGCUUAAUAAAGGCAAGCACAUCUGCUGUCCCCCACAACCUCCAACACAUACAGUCCAAACAUUGAUUUGCAUUGGUGGCGACCAAUAGAUUCAACAAACAUCAUCUUGCUCCACCAAUCCCCCCAUACUCCAAUCUAGUUUAAAC